UACAAUAAACUCAAAUCGACGCGCGCCA
rnacentral:sRNA from 1 species